UACGCAGACUGCAACCGUCAAUAGGAACUACUGGGCGUAAAGCGCACGCAGGCGGCUUUUUAAGUCGGAUGUGAAAGCCCCGGGCUCAACCUGGGAAUUGCAUUCGAUACUGGGAAGCUAGAGUAUGUGAGAGGGGGGUAGAAUUCCAAGUGUAGCGGUGAAAUGCGUAGAGAUUUGGAGGAAUACCAGUGGCGAAGGCGGCCCCCUGGCACACUACUGACGCUCAGGUGCGAAAGCGUGGGGAGCAAACAGGGUUAGAUAGCCGUGUAGUCC
rnacentral:rRNA from 1 species